rnacentral:rRNA from 1 species
CCUACGGGUGGCAGCAGUGAGGAAUAUUGGUCAAUGGACGAGAGUCUGAACCAGCCAAGUAGCGUGAAGGAUGACUGCCCUAUGGGUUGUAAACUUCUUUUAUAUGGGAAUAAAACAGGGUAUGCAUACCCUCUUGUAUGUACCAUAUGAAUAAGGAUCGGCUAACUCCGUGCCAGCAGCCGCGGUAAUACGGAGGAUCCGAGCGUUAUCCGGAUGUAUUGGGUUUAAAGGGAGCGUAGGUGGAUUGUUAAGUAAGUUGUGAAAGUUUGCGGCUCAACCGUAAAAUUGCAGUUGAAACUGGCAGUCUUGAGUGCAGUAGAGGUGGGCGGAACUCGUGGUGUAGCGGUGAAAUGCUUAGAUAUCACGAAGAACUCCGAUUGCGAAGGCAGCUCACUGGACUGCAACUGACACUGAUGCUCGAAAGUGUGGGUAGCAAACAGGAUUAGAUACCCUGGUAGUC